AACAAACGCUGGCGGCGUGCCUAAUACAUGCCAGUCGAACGGGGAAAGCUUUCGGGUGAGUACUAGUGGCGCACGGGUGAGGAACGCGUGGAUAAUCUGCCUUAGAGUGGGGGAUAACUAGUCGAAAGAUUAGCUAAUACCGCAUAAGACCACGAGAGCUGCGGCUUUUGAGGUCAAAGGUUUUUCGCUCUAAGAUGAGUCCGCGUAAGAUUAGCUAGUUGGUGAGGUAACGGCUCACCAAGGCGACGAUCUUUAACUGGUCUGAGAGGAAGAUCAGUCACACUGGAACUGAGACACGGUCCAGACUCCUACGGGAGGCAGCAGUAGGGAAUAUUGCACAAUGGAGGAAACUCUGAUGCAGCGACGCCGCGUGAGUGAUGAAGGCCUUCGGGGCGUAAAGCUCUGUCGCAGGGGAAUAACACAAUGAAGGUACCCUGUAAGAAAGGAUCGGCUAACUUCGUG
rnacentral:rRNA from 1 species